UCUUAUAAUCUAUAAGGAAGAGAUCAUAUUGGAGAAAAAUUCAUUCUUCACAAACAAAUGCCAUUUAUAUAGUAUCAGACAGAUCUAAUUAACAAAUUGAUAUUGAUUAUGAAUAUGUGACAUGAGUAAUUAUUCUGCCUUUGUUAUUGCCUUUGAUCACCAGAAAUCAAUACAAGGAAGUUUUAUUUUUAUAUACACAGAUAUCCAUAGCAUUCCAAGUUUAUCAUCUGUAUUUCUGGCCUAGAUCUGAUUCCUUUUAUUGGGAAAUGAUAUUUAGAGCUUUCAGUAGGACAGUAGGAAUGCCUUUUCUCUUCCUUAUAAAUUCUACAGUUGUCAAGUUUUAUGAAAAGCCUUGUUGGAAUUUACGUUGGAAUAACAUUAAAUCUGUGGAUCAAUUUAGAAGAAAUAGUCAUUUUCACAAUACUAAUUGCUUUUUUUUUUUUUUUUUUUGAGACGGAGUUUCACUCUUGUCUCCCACACUAGAGUGCAAUGGCAUUAUCCCUGCUCACUGCAACCUCCACCUCCCAGGUUCAAGCGAUUCUCCUGCCUCAGCCUCCCAAGUAUAGCUGGAAUUACAGGCGCAUGCCAUCACUCCCAGCUAAUUUUUUAUUUUUGGUGGAGAUGGGGUUUCACCAUGUUGGCCAGCCUGGUCUCCAACUCCUGACCUCAGGUGAUCCGCCCACCGUAGCCUCCCAGAGUGCUGGGAUUACAGGCGUGAGCCACCGUGCCCAGCCAAUUGCUUGUUUUUAAUGAAGUUUUCUACUUUUCUUUUUAGAGGCCUUGAACAUAUUACAUAUUAAAUGUAUUCCCAGGCACUUACUUGGUCUUAUGAUACUAUUGUAAAUGGUAGCAUUUAAGUUACACUUUCUAGUUUUUUCCUUCAUUGCUGAUGUAUAGAAACUAUAUUAAACUUCCAAAGAAAGCACGUCACACUGUUUCUUUUAAUUUAAAAUGUAAGUCCUAACUGUUCCCAAGUUUCUAAAAAUGGUUUGGGGAGGCUAGUAGUAGGUGCCUCUGGAGGUUGGGGAUAGGAGAGAUUUCUGCCUUUAAAUUUUGCCUUACAUGCACACAAAAAAAAUGCAAGUUAAAAGAUUUCUGUUCUUGAUUUAAAGGCCCUUUAAAAGACUUUAUUGUAUUUUUUUUCCAUUUGUUUACUAUGCCAAGUACUUAACAUAUAUAUUAGCUCAUGUAGUUUAAUCCCCCCAACAAAUGAAUGAAUUGUAGGUUGCUGUUGUUUUUGAGACAGAGUUGGUUUUUUUUGAGACUGAGUCUCUCUCCAUCGCCCAGGCUAGAGUACAGUGGCGCGAUCUCGGCUCACUGCAACCUCCGCUGCCCGGGUUCAAGCGAUUCUCCUGCCUCCUGCCUCAGCCUCCCGAAUAGCUGGGAUUACAGGCAUGCACCACCAGGCCCGGCUAAUUUUUGUAUUUUUAGUAGAGGCAGGGUUUCACCAUGUUGGCCAGGCUGGUCUAGAACUCCUGACCUCAAGUGAUCCGCCCGCCUCGGCCUCCCAAAGUGCUAGGAUUACAGGCGUGAGUCACUGCGCCCAGCCAGUAGUAGUUUUAUAGAAUGAGAAAAACACACUUUAAAGCAUAGGUAGCUUACCCUGUGUUGAACAUUUAAGGGGUUGAGCUCCCCAUAGUAUGCUUUUUUCACUUAAUGUUAUCUUGGUAAAUGUUUAUGUGCUUUGCUGUAACUGCAGAACCAAAAAUCAACUGUUUUUGGCACAGUGGUUAAGACAAAGAAAGGUUUUCAUGGGGUUAUAUUUCAGAAGAGGAGACAGGACAGAUAAUGAAUAAGUAAUAUGAUUUCAUACAGUCAUGAGUACAAUGGAAAAAUAAUGAGAUCAGGGAUAGACAGUGAUUCAGAGAUACUUUAUGUAAAUGGCUGUCUGUAAAGGAAACGUUUGUGCAAAGACUGAACAAAGUAAGGAAGUGAGUCUAUGAAAGAUGGUGAAGGAUGUUUAAGACAGAACAGCAAGUGAGAAGUCUCUGGAAUUAGGAAUCAGCCUUUUAGAGUGACAAAAGAAAGAAACUUUGGGUUGUAGCAGCAUAAUGGGAAUUGAAGUUAGGGGGUAAGGGAGGAGCCACAGUAUAAAGGAAUGUCUAGGCAAGUAGUCAGCAAACUAUGUCCCAUGGAGCCAAAUUUAGCCCAUGACCUGCAAGGUAAGGAUGAUUUUUAAAUUUAAGAGGUUGUAAUUAAGAGGGAAAAAAAUGACAACAAAGGUCUUCAUGUGGCCCAUAAAGCUUAAAAUAUUUACUGUUUGACCUUUUGUAGAAAAAGUAGAUUAAGUUUUAUUGCAGCAAUCUGAAUGAGAGUAUAGUGUGGUCUGUGUGUGUCAAACAGGCUGUAGUGGGGUUUGGCACAAUGGAAGUCAGGAAACCAAGUACAGCCUAUUUCAUUAACCCUGGUAAGAGAUCAGAGAUCAUGGCUUGGUUGAGAGAAAUGAAAGCAGUGAGAAAUGAUUAGAUUAAGAGUAAAUUUUUAAAGUUGGUGUCAAUAAGAACUGCUGAGCAAUUGAAUUGCAUAUGCCAGAACACAUGGACUAUUCUCCAUUUUUAGUUUCAAAAGGAAUGUUUACCUAUCAUUUUUAAAUCUGUAGGCAUCU
rnacentral:lncRNA from 1 species